CUGCUGUGAUGUAUUGAUAUUAUUUUUGAAAUGCUUUGUAUGCUUGUGAAGAGAGUUCUUUAUAAGUAUAUGGUGGUUGCCAUGAUUGAUCUUUGACUCAGCGAUCUUGGAUCCGGGGCAUGAUAGAUCCCUUCAAACAAUUGUCCAAUGCAAACUUUGAAUAGAAUUAAUAAUUGCUAUGAUAUUCUCAGUUAUUACAAAUUUAAUAGAUUACACAAG
rnacentral:lncRNA from 1 species